GACGAACGCUGGCGGCGUGCUUAACACAUGCAAGUCGAACGAUGAAGAAGAGCUUGCUCUUCGGAUUAGUGGCGAACGGGUGAGUAACACGUGACUAACCUGCCCCUUUCUCUGGGAUAACGCUCCGAAAGGAGUGCUAAUACCGGACACUCACAUCGAGGCACAUGCCUUGAUGUGGAAAGUUUUUCGGAAAGGGAUGGAGUCGCGGCCUAUCAGCUUGUUGGUGAGGUAACGGCUCACCAAGGCGACGACGGGUAGCCGGCCGGAGAGGGCGACCGGCCAAGCUGGGACCGAGACACGGCCCAGACUCCUACGGGAGGCAGCAGUGGGGAAUAUUGAACAAUGGGCGAAAGCCUGAUGCAGCGACGCCGCGUGAGAGAUGAAGGUCUUCGGAUUGUAAACCUCUUUCAGUAGGGACGAAGCGGAAGUGACGGUACCUAAAGAAGAAGCACCGGCUAACUACGUGCCAGCCGCCGCCGUAA
rnacentral:rRNA from 1 species